GAUGAACGCUGGCGGCGUGCCUAAUACAUGCAAGUCGAGCGAACAGACGAGGAGCUUGCUCCUCUGACGUUAGCGGCGGACGGGUGAGUAACACGUGGAUAACCUACCUAUAAGACUGGGAUAACUUCGGGAAACCGGAGCUAAUACCGGAUAAUAUAUUGAACCGCAUGGUUCAAUAGUGAAAGACGGUUUUGCUGUCACUUAUAGAUGGAUCCGCGCCGCAUUAGCUAGUUGGUAAGGUAACGGCUUACCAAGGCAACGAUGCGUAGCCGACCUGAGAGGGUGAUCGGCCACACUGGAACUGAGACAAGGUCCAGACUCCUACGGGAGGCAGCAGUAGGGAAUCUUCCGCAAUGGGCGAAAGCCUGACGGAGCAACGCCGCGUGAGUGAUGAAGGUCUUCGGAUCGUAAAACUCUGUCAUUAGGGAAGAACAAAUGUGUAAGUAACUAUGCACGUCAUGACGGUACCUAAUCAGAAAGCCACGGCUAACUACGUG
rnacentral:rRNA from 1 species